GCUGCUCCCGGAACACCGCUCCUGGAGCGAUUGUUUCAAUGUUGCUUGCUCGGAAUGGCCCUCCUGAGCAAACAACAGACGGUGCUCAAAGUAACAACUGGACUUAAUAAAAGGAGCUUACACGAAGGAGGAGCUGAAGGCUGCUGUGGUCGUGUGCUGGGGGCUGCCCCAGCUCCAGCUGCAGGACCCCGGCCGUCUGCCUUCCGACUCCGGUGAUGAUUCUUCCUGCGGUCUGAAAUCUUAAAAGUUUGAGAAGAAAAUAUGGUAAAUAACUAAGAGAAAUCUCUGGUCAAUACUCAACAAGUCCUUCAGUCCAACAAUAUUCCAUACAUGAAAUCCUGCCAAAAACCAGACUCAGCACCAAACACACGAGAUGAAACAUAAGAUGCAUAAACACAACCCUUGCCUUUGAAGAAAAUUUGCACUAAUGGCAGAGAUGGGUGCUGUAUGAGUGAGCUGUGGCUGCCAUAGCAAGACAUCAUAGAUUGGAUGGCUUAAACAACAGAAAUUUAUUUUUUCACAGUUCUGGAGGCCAGAAAUCCCCAAUAAAGGUACUGACUGAU
rnacentral:lncRNA from 1 species